rnacentral:rRNA from 1 species
UGGAUCCAGACUUUGAUUAUGGCUCAGGAUGAACGCUAGCUACAGGCUUAACACAUGCAAGUCGAGGGGAAACGACAUCGAAAGCUUGCUUUUGAUGGGCGUCGACCGGCGCACGGGUGAGUAACGCGUAUCCAACCUGCCCACCACUUGGGGAUAACCUUGCGAAAGUAAGACUAAUACCCAAUGACGUCUCUAGAAGACAUCUAAAAGAGAUUAAAGAUUUAUCGGUGAUGGACGGGGAUGCGUCUGAUUAGCUUGUUGGCGGGGUAACGGCCCACCAAGGCGACGAUCAGUAGGGGUUCUGAGUGGAAGGUCCCCCACAUUGGAACUGAGACACGGUCCAAACUCCUACGGGAGGCAGCAGUGAGGAAUAUUGGUCAAUGGACGAGAGUCUGAACCAGCCAAGUAGCGUGCAGGAAGACGGCCCUAUGGGUUGUAAACUGCUUUUAUAAGGGAAUAAAGUGAGAGUCGUGACUCUUUUUGCAUGUACCUUAUGAAUAAGGACCGGCUAAUUCCGUGCCAGCAGCCGCGGUAAUACGGAAGGUCCGGGCGUUAUCCGGAUUUAUUGGGUUUAAAGGGAGCGUAGGCCGGAGAUUAAGCGUGUUGUGAAAUGUAGGCGCUCAACGUCUGCACUGCAGCGCGAACUGGUUUCCUUGAGUACGCACAAAGUGGGCGGAAUUCGUGGUGUAGCGGUGAAAUGCUUAGAUAUCACGAAGAACUCCGAUUGCGAAGGCAGCUCACUGGAGCGCAACUGACGCUGAAGCUCGAAAGUGCGGGUAUCGAACAGGAUUAGAUACCCUGGUAGUCCGCACGGUAAACGAUGGAUGCCCGCUGUUGGUCUGAAUAGGUCAGCGGCCAAGCGAAAGCAUUAAGCAUCCCACCUGGGGAGUACGCCGGCAACGGUGCAACUCAAAGGAAUUGACGGA